UGGUUGAUCCCUGGCUGCUCCUGUCAGCAUGACGAAGUGUCCUUGUGCAAGACACUGAACCCAAAGCUGCUCCACGGGCGCUUUACAACAGUCCACUGCUCCUAAAUGCUUAGGAUGGGUCAAAUGCAGAGGUCAGAUUUCAUGGAUGUACCUUCUAAUAUCAUACAAAU